GCGGGACGUCGUCAAUACCUGUGCAACUGUUCUAUUUUUUACGGGGGCGCAACAGCUGCGCGCACGUAGAUUUUUGGUUGGAACGUAUGUCAGGGCGAAAAACAACUAGGAGCAACGACAGUGGAUACCAUAACUGAUGUGACAGUGGAUAUAAAUAUCACUGAAAUUAAUGAAAUCCACUUUCGAACAGUGCAUCGAAGCAUAACCAAAAACGGCAGCAACAACGCAUUUCCCACCUUGACCAAGUGCAAACCCCAGCGCCGCAAGACAGCAACAAGCGUCAACGAAAUCUAAAUCGAAUUAUGGCCACCAAACGGCGACCGCUGCGUCCGAACAUUGGAACAAGUUCUGGAUCAAACAUGAACUUUCGACCUGGGGGUCCGGACAUAACUCGGUCCGAGGCUAGGGGCACUAGACCUACAGCAGCCCCCACUAGUAUCCGAGAGAUUCUAGUCAUGGGAGUAAUACAUUUGUGUAAGAAAACGAUAUUCUUCAACACGGACCUCAAGGUGGCACUCUACUUGGGCAGCCUGUUCGUGGUAUCGGUCAUUGGGGACUUUGUCCCCUUCCCAAAGACCUACUUCGCGCGCUCGGACAAUCUAUUCAACAUGUACUUCGUGAAGGUAGGCUGGGGCUGGACUCUGCUGUUUGUGGUGCCCUUCCUAGUUCUGUCUGCCUAUACGAUCACCUGCGGCGAUCACAAGCGAAUGCUCAGGCAUCACUUCCCUCGCAUUGUCAUAGCCACAUUCUUUUGGUUUUUCUGGACGAAGCUCUUCAACAUUGUGGAAACUUCCUACGGCCGCUGCACGGUCAAAAGCUUCCAGAGCAAGCCGAGCUGCCUUAAGGCCGGACAUCUGUGGCAAGGCUUCGACAUAUCAGGCCAUGCUUUCAUCCUGAUUCACUCUAGUCUGGUGCUCAUCGAGGAGGCCCGUCCCAUCAUCAAGUGGGAGACCAUCAAGGAGCACCUCCGCAACGAGAUGCACAAUCGCAGCGUUUCCGAAAAUGCGGGCACCAAUCCCCUUCGAGGCCUGAACGACGAGCAGAUGAGGAGCCUGCAGUUCCUCUACAAACGACUAACGCCCAUCAUCCGGACCCUGUUCAUCGGCAUGGCCGCUCUGCAGCUGCUCUGGGACAUAAUGCUGGUGGGAACCAUGCUCUACUACCACCGCAUGAUUGAGAAGGUCAUCAGCGGCAUUAUAGCCAUCCUGACCUGGUACUUCACGUAUCGCUUCUGGUAUCCCACGCGCGGCCUCUUGCCAGAAGAGCCCGGAAACGGCACCUUCUUCUACCAGAGGGAGACCCAUGUCUUUCCUUUCAAGCGUCCCUCGCAUUUAUCUGGUACGACCUCCGCCAGUGGAGCCUCUGGCCCCAUGAGAGCAAAUCCCAAUGGGAAAGUGGGAGCGACGAAUGUGCCCAAGGAUCAGCAGAUGCCAACAUUCAUGGGCAUGCCAUUGUUCACCAGCCCGAAGGUGGCCACUGCCGCAGCAAGCUUGCUUCAAUCAGCGCAGCAGAAGCGAGAGCAGCAACAGCAGCAGCAGUUUGGAGCAGAUAGCUGAGCCCCAAAGGACGAUCCCCGUCAAAUCAUCGUCCCCGGAGGCGUAAACAAGCAUAGCAGGAAUUGACAAUUAGCAGCUAGACACUGGCUGGCACAUGGUUCAUCCCUCUUCUCUUCUCCUCUACUUUCUCUUCAUCAUCCCAUACCCCUGCAUCAGCAUCAGCAUCAGCGUCAGCCAUCUGGUUACCACGUAGUAGCUUUAAGCGUUAAGCGUUUAGCGUUCUUAUGUUCGUGCGUUUAUAUGUGACCAACUUUAACAGUAAAAGGAUUUGUUAACAAA